rnacentral:snRNA from 1 species
GUGUCCGCUUCAGCAGCACAUAUACUAAAAUUGAAAUGAUACAGAGAAAUUGGCACAGCCCCUAUGCAAGGAUGACAUACACAUUUGUGAAGCCUUCUAUAUUUUC